rnacentral:tRNA from 1 species
GGCUCAUUCGUCUAACGGUUAGGACACAAGAUUCUCAUUCUUGAAAUAGGAGUUCGAUUCUCCUAUGAGCUA